ACACCUAUAUCGCAAUGGUGUAUGCGGGCAUCCGCGCAACUUGAAGGCAAACAGCGUUUUGGACGGGGGUUCGAUUCCCCCCACCUCCACCAAAUGCCGCAAUGGAAGGGCGCUUGCCAUCCGGCAUCUGAAGGGGGUGACCUGGUUUCGACAAAGCGGCCAGUACCCGGAGACACACCACGUCAGGCGACCGACGUAAACAGCGCGAAAUCCUGAUUGCAAAUGAAUCGCAAUUUAUUGCUUACGGUACCUGAUUACCGCUAGCCGAGUUGCCGGCCCCUUCUCGCGAAGGCUUGGGAACAGAAAGGCCGGCCCGAUUUCC
rnacentral:tmRNA from 1 species